rnacentral:rRNA from 1 species
AGGACUUUCUCGGUUCGUUCCGAGCAAGUCUUUGCGAGAAAGAAGAGAACGCGACGCCCGCACAGCUGCAAACCCGCUUUGUUCCGAGUAAACGUUGCUGUUCCGAGUAGGCUUCGAGCUCUUUUUUUGUUGUACGUAAACGCCUGUUCCUAGUACGUGCUUUGCUCCGGCGGGACGCGCGGUUAAGCCCGCACACGGCUCAGCUGCCGAGUAGCGUUAAAACUAGCUGUACCCCGUCCGUCGGGCGAAAGGGAAUCCGUUUCCUAUUACGGAACCCGGCCGCGGAGCCGCGACCACGAUCCUCUCGUAAUCGACGCGGUAACGCGAAAGACCCCGGAGACGCCGUCUGGAGCCCCCGGAAGAGUUUUCUUUUCUGCCUGAGCGAGCGGGCUCCGUGGAAUCCCUUCGCGGGGAGAUACGGAGUGGCUCGCGAAGAGCGCCGCAGUUGCUGCGGCGUCGGGGGAGUCCCGUCGGCCCUUGAAAAUCCGGGCGAGGGUCACGUGGAGGUGCCGCGCCGGCUCGUACCCAUAUCCGCAGCAGGUCUCCGAGGUCAAGAGCCUCUGGUCGAUAGAAC